UGGCUCAGCAUUAACGCUAGCGACAGGCCUAACACAUGCAAGUCGAGGGGCAUCGGGGCGAGGAGCAAUCCUUGCCGCCGGCGACCGGCGCACGGGUGAGUAACGCGUAUGCGACCUGCCCGUUGCAGGGGGAUAAUCGGGAGAAAUCCCGUCUAAUACCGCGUAAUGCCGCGGGGCUGCAUGGCCCUGCGGCCAAAGGGAGCGAUUCCGGCAACGGAUGGGCAUGCGUGACAUUAGCUAGUUGGCGGGGCAACGGCCCACCAAGGCGACGAUGUCUAGGGGUUCUGAGAGGAAGGUCCCCCACACUGGUACUGAGACACGGACCAGACUCCUACGGGAGGCAGCAGUGAGGAAUAUUGGUCAAUGGGCGCGAGCCUGAACCAGCCAAGUCGCGUGAGGGAUGACGGCCCUACGGGUUGUAAACCUCUUUUGUCGGGGAGCAAAUUCCGCCACGUGUGGCGGAGUCGAGAGUACCCGAAGAAAAAGCAUCGGCUAACUCCGUGCCAGCAGCCGCGGUAAUACGGAGGAUGCGAGCGUUAUCCGGAUUUAUUGGGUUUAAAGGGUGCGUAGGCGGACUGUCAAGUCAGCGGUAAAAUACGGGGGCUCAACCUCCGCCCGCCGUUGAAACUGACGGUCUUGAGUGGGCGAGAAGUAUGCGGAAUGCGUGGUGUAGCGGUGAAAUGCAUAGAUAUCACGCAGAACUCCGAUUGCGAAGGCAGCAUACCGGCGCCCGACUGACGCUGAAGCACGAAAGCGUGUGUAUCGAACAGGAUUAGAUACCCUGGUAGUCCACGCAGUAAACGAUGAAUACUAGCUGUCCGGGGCGAAUGAGCCCUGGGUGGCACAGCGAAAGCGUUAAGUAUUCCACCUGGGGAGUACGCCGGCAACGGUGAAACUCAAAGGAAUUGACGGGGGCCCGCACAAGCGGAGGAACAUGUGGUUUAAUUCGAUGAUACGCGAGGAACCUUACCCGGGCUCAAACGACACAGGAACGUACCUGAUAGGGUUCGGCUCUACGGAGCCUGUGUCGAGGUGCUGCAUGGUUGUCGUCAGCUCGUGCCGUGAGGUGUCGGCUUAAGUGCCAUAACGAGCGCAACCCCCAUCGACAGUUGCUAACAGGUCAGGCUGAGGACUCUGUCGAGACUGCCGGCGCAAGCUGCGAGGAAGGCGGGGAUGACGUCAAAUCAGCACGGCCCUUACGUCCGGGGCGACACACGUGUUACAAUGGCAGGUACAGCGGGAAGCCACCUGGCGACAGGGAGCGGAACCCGAAAGCCUGUCUCAGUUCGGAUUGGAGUCUGCAACCCGACUCCAUGAAGCUGGAUUCGCUAGUAAUCGCGCAUCAGCCACGGCGCGGUGAAUACGUUCCCGGGCCUUGUACACACCGCCCGUCAAGCCAUGGAAGCCGGGGGUGCCUGAAGUGCGCUGCCGCGAGGAGCGCCCUAGGGUAAAACCGGUGACUGGGGCUAAGUCGUAACAAGGUA
rnacentral:rRNA from 1 species